rnacentral:piRNA from 1 species
UGAAAAGGUGCUUCUCUCGAAGUCUCAAUGA